GACGAACGCUGGCGGCGUGCUUAACACAUGCAAGUCGAACGGAAAGGCCCCUUUGGGGGUACUCGAGUGGCGAACGGGUGAGUAACACGUGAGUAACCUGCCCUUGACUUCGGGAUAACUUCAGGAAACUGGGGCUAAUACCGGCUAGGAAUCCUUGCUGCAUGGUGGGGGUUGGAAAGCUUCGGCGGUUUUGGAUGGACUCGCGGCUUAUCAGCUUGUUGGUGGGGUAGUGGCUUACCAAGGCUUUGACGGGUAGCCGGCCUGAGAGGGCGACCGGCCACAUUGGGACUGAGAUACGGCCCAGACUCCGACGGGAGGCAGCAGUGGGGAAGAUUGCACAAGGGGCGGAAGCCUGAUGCAGCAACGCCGCGGGCGGGAUGACGGCCUUCGGGUUGUAAACCGCUUUCAGCAGGGGCGAAGCUUGUGGUGACGGUACCUGCAGAAGAAGCACCGGCUAACUACGUG
rnacentral:rRNA from 1 species